GUAGGGAAUCUUCCACAAUGGACGAAAGUCUGAUGGAGCAACGCCGCGUGAGUGAAGAAGGUCUUCGGAUCGUAAAACUCUGUUGUUAGAGAAGAACGUGCGUGAUAGUAACUGAUCAUGUAAUGACGGUAUCUAACCAGAAAGCCACGGCUAACUACGUGCCAGCAGCCGCGGUAAUACGUAGGUGGCAAGCGUUGUCCGGAUUUAUUGGGCGUAAAGGGAACGCAGGCGGUUUUUUAAGUCUGAUGUGAAAGCCUUCGGCUUAACCGAAGAAUAGCAUUGGAAACUGGAAGACUUGAGUGCAGAAGAGGAGAGUGGAAUUCCAUGUGUAGCGGUGAAAUGCGUAGAUAUAUGGAGGAACACCAGUGGCGAAAGCGGCUCUCUGGUCUGUAACUGACGCUGAGGUUCGAAAGCGUGGGUAGCAAACAGGAUUAGAAACCCCUGUAGUCC
rnacentral:rRNA from 1 species